GCAGCCGUCGCGGUUAGACGAAGAAUUUAAGUGAGAUUUUGUUAAAAUUAAUUUACAGUAGAUGGAUAAUAGUCUAUUAUUUAUUUUUUAUGAGUGAAUCUGUUUAAAAUAAGAAAUAAUCUUAUAUUCAUCUGCAGGAAUUAAAAAAUUUAGAUUUAAAACCAGGAUUAGAUACCCUGUUAUUCUUAAUUAAAAGACAAGGGUAGUAAAAGAUGUACUUCAAACCCAAAGAUUUUGGCGGCAUUUUAACCCAAUAGAGGAGCUUGUUCUAUAAUCGAUAAUCCCCGUUUAAUCUUUCCUUUCCUUGUCAAGCUUGUAUACCUCCGUUGUCUGAUUACUCCUUAAGGAUGUUUUCUGAAAAAAUAAUUUUUUGACUUCAGGUCAAGGUGCAGUUUAGGAAAGGCAGUAAUGAGCUACAAUUUUAUUUAAAAAUACGGAAAGUAAAAUUAAAAAUUUCUGGAAGGUGGAUUUAUUAGUAAAAUAUUUUAAGU
rnacentral:rRNA from 1 species